rnacentral:rRNA from 1 species
CCAAUAGCGUAUAUUAAAGUUGUUGCAGUUAAAAAGCUCGUAGUUGAAUUUCGAGACCGGUUUACUGGUCGUGCUUUUGUACGUACUGGUAUUAUUGGUUUCUCCUUUCUGACGAAUCAUAAUGCCAUUAAUUUGGUGUUUUGGGGAAUCAGGACUGUUACUUUGAAAAAAUUAGAGUGUUUAAAGCAGGCUCAAGCUUGAAUACAUUAGAAUGGAAUAACGAAAUAGGACGUUUGAUUUUAUUUUGUUGGUUUCUAGGAUCGACGUAAUGAUUAAUAGGGAUAGUUGGGGGCAUUAGUAUUCAAUUGUCAGAGGUGAAAUUCUUGGAUUUAUUGAAGACUAACUACUGCGAAAGCAUUUGCCAAGGAUGUUUUCAUUAAUCAAGAACGAAAGUUAGGGGAUCGAAGACGAUCAGAUACCGUCGUAGUCUUAACCAUAAACUAUGCCGACUAGGGAUCGGAUGAUGUUAAUUUUUUAAUGACUCAUUCGGCGCCUUACG